AUUGAACGCUGGCGGCGUGCUUAACACAUGCAAGUCGAAAGAAGUGGCGCACGGGUGAGUAACGCGUAAUCACCCUGCCCUUCAGAGGGGGACAAAAGUUGGAAACGACUGCUAAUACCGCAUCCUGAAGGGGGUGAAGUCGUCGGCUUAGCUAGUUGGCUGGGUAACGGCCCACCAAGGCGAUGCUCAGUAGCCGGUCUGGUAGGAUGAACGGCCACAUUGGGACUGAGACACGGCCCAGACUCCUACGGGAGGCAGCAGUGGGGAAUCUUCCGCAAUGGACGAAAGUCUGACGGAGCAACGCCGCGUGAGUGAUGACGGCCUUCGGGUUGUAAAGCUCUGUUAAUCGGGACGCGGUACCGGAAUAGAAAGCCACGGCUAACUACGUGCCAGCAGCCGCGGUAAUAC
rnacentral:rRNA from 1 species